rnacentral:rRNA from 1 species
UACAGAGGUCUCAAGCGUUGUUCGGAUUCAUUGGGCGUAAAGGGUGCGUAGGCGGCGGGGCAAGUCAGGUGUGAAAUCCCGGGGCUCAACCCCGGAACUGCACUUGAUACUGCCUUGCUCGAGUGCUGGAGAGGAGACUGGAAUUUACGGUGUAGCAGUGAAAUGCGUAGAUAUCGUAAGGAAGACCAGUGGCGAAGGCGAGUCUCUGGACAGCUACUGACGCUGAGGCACGAAGGCCAGGGGAGCAAACGGG